rnacentral:rRNA from 1 species
AGCCUGGGUAUAAAUCCUUUGGAACAGGGUAUCAUAGAGGGUGAGAAUCCCGUCUUUGACUCAGUGCAUGCUACUAUGUGAUACAUUUUCAAAGAGUCGAGUUGUUUGGGAAUGCAGCUCAAAAUGGGUGGUAAAUUUCAUCUAAGGCUAAAUAUUGGCGAGAGACCGAUAGCGAACAAGUACCGUGAGGGAAAGAUGAAAAGAACUUUGAAAAGAGAGUUAAACAGUGCGUGAAAUUGUUGAAAGGGAAACGCUUGACACCAGUCAUGCGAGCGGAAAAUCAGUCUUUUGCAGUGGGGGGUUGUGUGGGAUCGGACCGCAAGGCCGGCCUAUGCUGCAUCUCUGCUGUAAGUGAUGCACUUUUUCGUUUGCAGGCCAACAUCAGUUUCUUCUGCUGGACAAAACUCUUGAGAAGGUAGCAGCUUUGGCUGUGUUAUAGCUCUUGAGCGAUACAGUGGAGGGGACUGAGGUUUUCGCAGCGCGUGCUUUCGGGCAAGGCUGAUUGGGUGCUAUGGGAUCGUUCGGUGUACAAUGCAUGCAUUUUGCGCCGUGUCUUUUCUGUACUCGCUCAACUCGGCUCUUCCGCGCUUAGGAUGUUGGCUUAAUGGUUUUAAUCGACCCGUCUUGAAACACGGACCAAGGAGUCUAACAUAUAUGCAAGUGUUUGGGUGGCAAACCCAUGCGCGUAAUGAAAGUGAACGUAGGUGCCAUCCGCAAGGUGCAGCAUCGACCGAUCUUGAUAUUUUUGGAUAGAUUUGAGUAAGAGCAUAUAUGCUGGGACCCGAAAGAUGGUGAACUAUGCCUGAAUAGGGUGAAGCCAGAGGAAACUCUGGUGGAGGCUCGUAGCGAUUCUGACGUGCAAAUCGAUCGUCAAAUUUGGGUAUAGGGGCGAAAGACUAAUCGAACCAUCUAGUGUGUC